AUUGAACGCUGGCGGCAGGCCUAACACAUGCAAGUCGAGCGGAUGAAGGGAGCUUGCUCCUGGAUUCAGCGGCGGACGGGUGAGUAAUGCCUAGGAAUCUGCCUGGUAGUGGGGGAUAACGUCCGGAAACGGGCGCUAAUACCGCAUACGUCCUGAGGGAGAAAGUGGGGGAUCUUCGGACCUCACGCUAUCAGAUGAGACUAGGUCGGAUUAGCUAGUUGGUGGGGUAAAGGCGUACCAAGGCGACGAUCCGUAACUGGUCUGAGAGGAUGAUCAGUCACACUGGAACUGAGACACGGUCCAGACUCCUACGGGAGGCAGCAGUGGGGAAUAUUGGACAAUGGGCGAAAGCCUGAUCCAGCCAUGCCGCGUGUGUGAAGAAGGUCUUCGGAUUGUAAAGCACUUUAAGUUGGGAGGAAGGGCAGUAAGUUAAUACCUUGCUGUUUUGACGUUACCAACAGAAUAAGCACCGGCUAACUUCGUG
rnacentral:rRNA from 1 species